rnacentral:tRNA from 1 species
GCAUUGAUGGUUCAGUGGUAGAAUUCCCACCCUCCAUGUGGGAGAUCAGAGUCCGAUUCCUGGCCAGUGCA